rnacentral:tRNA from 1 species
GCCUUCGUGGUGUAAUGGUCAGCAAACUCGGCGCAUAAUCAAGAGAUCCGUGGUUCGAGUCCCGGCGAAAGCA